AGAGAAGGCGCACAUAUAUAUAUAAAGUAUAGAUCCUAAUUAGAGUAGAUGUCAUAUUCUACCUAAAUUCAAAAAAAUGGGGAAAAAAAAGAGGGAAAGUAUUCAAAAUAAAAUAAAAGGAGCAUAGUCAGUUGAUUGAGGUUUGUUUCCUCAAUAGGUUGAUUUUUAUUAAGUUAUUCCUAAAUAGGAAUCACCUUGGAACCUUAUAUAAAAGGAGCUCUAAAUUUCGAAAUAAAAGGGGGAGAGAGAAUUCUCUUUUGAGCAAGAAAAAAAAGAAGAAGAUCCGAAGAAGCAGAAGAAAAGAAAAAGAAAGGAAGAAAAGAGGUGAAAAAAAAAGGGGGAGUUUAUAUAGU
rnacentral:lncRNA from 1 species